AGACCGGCUUACUGGUCGUGCUAUUGUACGUACUAGUAUAAUCGGUUUCUCCUUUCUGACGAACUUUAGUGCCAUUAAUUUGGUGUUUUAGGGAAUCAGGACUGUUACUUUGAAAAAAUUAGAGUGUUUAAAGCAGGCUCACGCUUGAAUACAUUAGCAUGGAAUAACGGAAUAGGACGUUUGAUUCUAUUUUGUUGGUUUCUAGGAUCGACGUAAUGAUUAAUAGGGAU
rnacentral:rRNA from 1 species